UACAGAGGUCCCAAGCGUUGUUCGGAUUCACUGGGCGUAAAGGGUGCGUAGGUGGUCGGGUAAGUUUGAUGUGAAAUCUCCGGGCUUAACCCGGAAAAUGCAUUGAAUACUAUUCGGCUGGAGGGUUGGAGGGGGGACUGGAAUUCUCGGUGUAGCAGUGAAAUGCGUAGAUAUCGAGAGGAACACCAGUGGCGAAGGCGGGUUGCUGGGCCGACACUGACGCUGAUGCGCGAAAGCCAGGGGAGCGAACGGG
rnacentral:rRNA from 1 species